GUCUACGGCCACAGCUAGGCGAAAACACUAGUUCCCGUCCGAUCACUGCAGUUAAGCGUCUGAGGCCUCGUUAGUACUAUGGUUGGAGACAACAUGGGAAUCCGGGGUGCUGUAGGCU
rfam:Schizosaccharomyces cryophilus OY26 unplaced genomic scaffold supercont4.2, whole genome shotgun sequence.